rnacentral:rRNA from 1 species
UACGUAGGUGGCAAGCGUUGUCCGGAAUUUAUUGGGCGUAAAGCGCGCGCAGGCGGUCCUUUAAGUCUGAUGUGAAAGCCCACGGCUCAACCGUGGAGGGUCAUUGGAAACUGGGGGACUUGAGUGCAGAAGAGGAAAGCGGAAUUCCACGUGUAGCGGUGAAAUGCGUAGAGAUGUGGAGGAACACCAGUGGCGAAGGCGGCUUUCUGGUCUGUAACUGACGCUGAGGCGCGAAAGCGUGGGGAGCAAACAGG